rnacentral:rRNA from 1 species
GAUGAACGCUGGCGGCGUGCCUAAUACAUGCAAGUCGAGCGAACAGAUAAGGAGCUUGCUCCUUUGACGUUAGCGGCGGACGGGUGAGUAACACGUGGGUAACCUACCUAUAAGACUGGGAUAACUUCGGGAAACCGGAGCUAAUACCGGAUAAUAUUUCGAACCGCAUGGUUCGAUAGUGAAAGAUGGUUUUGCUAUCACUUAUAUAUGGACCCGCGCCGUAUUAGCUAGUUGGUAAGGUAACGGCUUACCAAGGCGACGAUACGUAGCCGACCUGAGAGGGUGAUCGGCCACACUGGAACUGAGACACGGUCCAGACUCCUACGGGAGGCAGCCGUAGGGAAUCUUCCGCAAUGGGCGAAAGCCUGACGGAGCAACGCCGCGUGAGUGAUGAAGGUCUUCGGAUCGUAAAACUCUGUUAUUAGGGAAGAACAUACGUGUAAGUAACUGUGCACGGCUUGACGGUACCUAAUCAGAAAGCCACGGCUAACUACGUG